rnacentral:lncRNA from 1 species
CUUAACUGUCACAUUUUAACUUAACUAUUUACAGGUCUUCUCUUCAAAUAGUCACACUCUGAGGUUUAGGCUUUAACGUGAAUUUGGCAGGGGCUGUAGGGGUAUACAAUUCAGUCUGUAACAAUGGAUACAUUUUCUUAGAGCUUUUUAUUCUUACAGAUUUCAGAGAAUGAGUUGAGAAUGAAAAUGACCAUAAAUAUUCAGACUCAAAGUAACUGUAGUUUAUUGAAGAAUAACACAUUAAUCAUGAACCCGCUGUGCAAAAUAAAAUUAAAACAGAAUAUCAUCUUGAGAUGUAAGCAAAGUUAUGUGACAUUUAAUGGAUCAAGAAUAAUCAAGGAAUUGUACAUUUACAGAGGAAGGAAGAUGGUCAAGUCACCCAGCUCCAAAGGUGCGGGGAGGGGCCGGCACUUUGCGUUGGGGAGAAGCGAAAGGUCUAUGUGAAGGGUAAGUGCCAAAUCUGCUAAGCCACAGAGAGAACAGGUGUGCUGCUGGCAAAGAUGUGCAUAAAAUGAUCUCCAGAAAAUUCUGAAACUAUUUAGUUGAUUACUAAUUUAUCAGAUUAAAAAAUGCUUCU